GACGAACGCUGGCGGCGUGCUUAACACAUGCAAGUCGAACGGGCCUUGUCCCCUUUUUUUUGGGGGUGGGGUUAGUGGCGCACGGGUGAGUAACACGUGAGUAACCUGCCCCUCACUUCUGGAUAACCGCUUGAAAGGGUGGCUAAUACGGGGUGUUCUGGCCUGCUCGCAUGGGUGGGUUUGGAAAGAUUCGACCGGUUUUGGUUGUUUUGGUGGGGGAUGGGCUCGCGGCCUAUCAGCUUGUUGGUGGGGUGAUGGCCUGCCAAGGCUUUGACGGGUAGCCGGCCUGGGAGGGUGGGCGGUCACACUGGGGCUGAGACACGGCCCAGACUCCUACGGGAGGCAGCAGUGGGGAAUAGUGCACAGUGGGCGCAAGCCUGAUGCAGCGACGCCGCGUGAGAGAUGGAGGCCUUCGGGUUGUGAACCUCUUUCGCCAGUGAAGAAGGUCCUGCUCUUUGUGGUGGGGUUGACGGUAGCAGGGUUAAUGAAGCGCCGGCUAACUACGUG
rnacentral:rRNA from 1 species